GUGCAGGCGGACGUGCACUGCCUUGUAUGACUUAGCCUUGGCGGUCACAUGCCAUCACUGUCACCACGUCUGGUGGGUCACACAGAUGGGGAUCUGAGGCUCUGGAAGGUGUGGAGACUUACCUAAGGCCACACGAUUUUGCCAUUCUCUAGGGGACGUAUAAGGAUGUUCAGUGAACUGAGGGGGAAGAGUUUCUUCUGGGGAACUGCUGCAGAGAGCCUGGACCGGAGGGAGUGUGGCCCCGG